rnacentral:ncRNA from 1 species
GGCGUGAGCUUUCUUGAAAAGAAACUAAGUGGCUGUAAAAAUCCGUUGCUGUACUAUUGCAAUACCACACUGAUUGCUUUGUCUGAGGCGUCUGUUUGCAACGAGAGUGUUGCCUUGCUGUCUGGAAAUGCGGUCGGGGUAACCCAAAAUGACCUGGAAACAUCGUCGGGAGAUCCGGAAAGUUUUCUUUUCUGUAUAAGAGUUCCCUGGAAACCUCUAGCAGGGAGAUAGGGUUUGAAACGCGAAGAGCACCGCAGUUGCGGCUGAGUCCGGAUCUUCCCCUCGGACCUUGAAAAUCCAGGAGAGGGCCACGUAGAGGUGUCGCGCCAGCUCGUACCCAUAUCCGCAGCACAUCUCCAAGGUAAAGAGCCUCU